rnacentral:rRNA from 1 species
UGGGGAAUAUUGGGCAAUGGGCGAAAGCCUGACCCAGCAACGCCGCGUGAGGGAAGAAGGUUUUCGGAUUGUAAACCUCUGUCCUAAGGGACGAAGGAAGUGACGGUACCUUAGGAGGAAGCCCCGGCUAACUACGUGCCAGCAGCCGCGGUAAUACGUAGGGGGCGAGCGUUGUCCGGAAUGACUGGGCGUAAAGGGCGUGUAGGCGGCAGUAUAAGUCCGGAGUGAAAGUCCUGCUUUCAAGGUGGGAAUUGCUUUGGAGACUGUACAGCUUGAGUGCGGAAGAGGUAAGUGGAAUUCCCAGUGUAGCGGUGAAAUGCGUAGAGAUUGGGAGGAACACCAGUGGCGAAGGCGACUUACUGGGCCGUAACUGACGCUGAGGCGCGAAAGCGUGGGGAGCGAACAGGA